GUUGACUGCUCCGGACAAACGCGUACGUAUUUAUCGGACAGGCGGUAAAACCACAUCGAGUCUCUUUUGGUUCCCCACAGGCCCAAAUGAAAGACAAAAACAUGUGUCAACAGCUGCAGGCGUGCAAACAGGGAGAUAAGAUAAAACGAUAGAAUAUGCAGCUGUCUCUUCUUUGAUGGGGACAAAGAACAUGGGCCAACCAGUUUUGUUUAUAGCAAAAAACAUUGACAGUUUACCAGAGAUACCCGCACCAAAAAGAUGCAAAAAGACAAAGGUAGAGGAUACUAUGACUUCAGAGUUAACCAAUGAUGAUGGAGCUGUUUAUGAUGAAGGAAGCUAAUCUUCUCAUGAUCACAGAUACGACCUGCAAACCCCAGAAUGUGAUCGUGUUUCUGUUAGAGAUAAUGCAGUACACAAUAAAGUUAAAGAAUAUGAGAGGCAGAUUGCAGCUCUAGAAAGUGAAAACCAGACUCUCAAGACAGGACAGUAUUCAUUACACAGACAGGAUGGGAUUGGUUGAUGGUCAUCAAACUUGAUUAGUGAGUUUUCUUCGGGUUCUCCAGUUUCCCUCACAAAACAAGAACAUGUCGAGCAACAUUGUGCCAAAAUAUGACUUAGUAUCAGUAAAUAUAACUUGAUUUCACAAUUUUUGUAAGCAUUUAAACUAAAGGGGAGUUUUUAAAUACCAGUAUUGUACUUUACCCUUUCGUAGAGCAUCAAAAUACAGAUGAUUCCAGAUAAAACGUUUUGAGGUCCUGGCACUAGUGGGAAUUACUUAUGAGACCAUUUGUGUAAGUACAGCAUGAUUACAAAUAACACACUUCCGUCGUUACAACCCAUACGUUCACAAUACAUUGAUUUGACGUAAUAUCUGUUAAAAUGCUAUAACCUUUCUUAUUUCAAUAUUUUUUCAACCUGAAAGUAACUUUAUAUAUUUCCUGAAACUUUCAUGGAUAUCUUAUGUUUUAUUACAGUCAGAUGCUGUUGUACACAUAAAUGACAGCAGAUGUAUUACAAGUACUUGCCAACAUGCUUCAGAUGUGUCACUCUUCUGGUUGGACAGUUAGCUGCUUAAGCAUUGAUGCUUAACUAAUUAAUUACAGUGUUUACAAUGACAAACAUUUCUAUCAAGUAAAGGACAUUUUACAAAACAGGAGGCAGAACUUUGUUUCAAGAUAGAAAGAAGUAGACUUCAUGCUGAGAGAGCAAAUGAAAGAACUAAAAACAAUGAUUUUUAAAGCACAUACCAGCCCCGUACAGACAUUUGUCUUCUCAAUCUUCAGGCAGCAUUGUAAAAGGAAAUUGCAGAUCAAUAUCAUUUUUUUUAAAAUUAAAACAAAAGUCUUUAGCCAGGAGAUAUAAUAUUCUAGAAAUGAACAAUGUUUAUUGCUUACAGUUAUACUGUACAACUUUUGUUGUCAUGUGAUUAUAUGUGAAAACAUGUAACUAUACUUUAAUAAGCUUUCCUUUACACAAAAAGCAACCAUCUGUCCAGGUUUCUUUUAUUAUUUUAUUUAUUUCAUAAAUACAUUUAGACCAGUGUAUUUGUUUGCAUUUACAA